rnacentral:rRNA from 1 species
UGGGGAAUUUUGGACAAUGGGCGAAAGCCUGAUCCAGCAAUGCCGCGUGUGUGAAGAAGGCCUUCGGGUUGUAAAGCACUUUUGUCCGGAAAGAAAUCCUUGGCUCUAAUACAGUCGGGGGAUGACGGUACCGGAAGAAUAAGCACCGGCUAACUACGUGCCAGCAGCCGCGGUAAUACGUAGGGUGCAAGCGUUAAUCGGAAUUACUGGGCGUAAAGCGUGCGCAGGCGGUUUGCUAAGACCGAUGUGAAAUCCCCGGGCUCAACCUGGGAACUGCAUUGGUGACUGGCAGGCUAGAGUAUGGCAGAGGGGGGUAGAAUUCCACGUGUAGCAGUGAAAUGCGUAGAGAUGUGGAGGAAUACCGAUGGCGAGGCAGCCCCCUGGGCCAAUACUGACGCUCAUGCACGAAAGCGUGGGGAGCAAACAGGAUUAGAUACCCUGGUAGUCCACGCCCUAAACGAUGUCAACUAGUUNUUGGGGGAUUCAUUUCCUUAGUAACGUAGCUAACGCGUGAAGUUGACCGCCUGGGGGAGUACGGUCGCAAGAUUAAAACUCAAAGGAAUUGACGGGGUCAAGCUG